rnacentral:rRNA from 1 species
CAGUAGCCGCGGGAAUACGGAGGGAGCUAGCGUUGUUCGGAAUUACUGGGCGUAAAGCGCGCGUAGGCGGUUACUCAAGUCAGAGGUGAAAGCCCGGGGCUCAACCCCGGAACUGCCUUUGAAACUAGGUGACUAGAAUCUUGGAGAGGUCAGUGGAAUUCCGAGUGUAGAGGUGAAAUUCGUAGAUAUUCGGAAGAACACCAGUGGCGAAGGCGACUGACUGGACAAGUAUUGACGCUGAGGUGCGAAAGCGUGGGGAGCAAACAGGAUUAGAUACCCGCGUAGUCCCUGUCUCUUAUAC